UAUCAAUUAAGCGGAGGAAAAGAAACUAACAAGGAUUCCCNUAGUAACUGCGAGUGAAGCGGGAAAAGCUCAAAUUUAAAAUNUGAUGGUCCUUGNGGCUAUCCGAGUUGUAAUCUAGAGAAGUGUUAUCCGCGCUGGACCGUGUACAAGUCUCCUGGAACGGAGCGUCAUAGAGGGUGAGAAUCCCGUCUUUGACACGGACUACCAGGGCUUAUGUGAUGCGCUCUCAAAGAGUCGAGUUGUUUGGGAAUGCAGCUCUAAAUGGGUGGUAAAUUCCAUCUAAAGCUAAAUAUUGGCGAGAGACCGAUAGCGAACAAGUACCGUGAGGGAAAGAUGAAAAGAACUUUGGAAAGAGAGUUAAACAGUACGUGAAAUUGUUGAAAGGGAAACGCUUGAAGUCAGUCACGUUGGCCAGGGAUCAACCUUGCUUUUGCUUGGCGUACUUUCUGGUUAACGGGUCAGCAUCAAUUUUGACCGGUGGAUAAAGGUCAGGGGAAUGUGGCAUCUUCGGAUGUGUUAUAGCCCUUGGUUGCAUACAUCGGUUGGGAUUGAGGAACUCAGCACGCCGCAAGGCCGGGUUUUUAACCACGUACGUGCUUAGGAUGCUGGCAUAAUGGCUUUAAUCGACCCGUCUUGAAACACGGACCAAGGAGUCUAACAUGCACGCGAGUGUUUGGGUGGAAAACCCGAGCGCGUAAUGAAAGUGAAAAUUGAGAUCCCUGUCGUGGGGAGCAUCAAUGCCCGGACCAGACCUUUUGUGACGGUUCCGCGGUUGAGCGUGUAUGCUGGGACCCGAAAGAUGGUGAACUAUGCCUGAAUAGGGUGAAGCCAGAGGAAACUCUGGUGGAGGCUCGUAGCGAUUCUGACGUGCAAAUCGAUCGYCAAAUUUAC
rnacentral:rRNA from 1 species